CUACGGGGCGCUGCAGUGGGGAAUAUUGCGCAAUGGGCGAAAGCCUGACGCAGCAACGCCGCGUGAGUGAUGAAGGCCUUCGGGUCGUAAAGCUCUGUCGGGAGGGAAGAACACCUUCGGGUCUGACGGUACCUCCCGAGGAAGCACAGGCUAACUCCGUGCCAGCAGCCGCGGUAAUACGGAGUGUGCAAGCGUUGUUCGGAAUUACUGGGCGUAAAGCGCGCGUAGGCGGCUUGAUAAGUCAGAUGUGAAAUCCCUCGGCUUAACCGAGGAACUGCAUUUGAAACUGUCAGGCUUGAGUACGGGAGGGGGAAGCGGAGUUCCCAGUGUAGAGGUGAAAUUCGUAGAUAUUGGGAGGAACACCAGCGGCGAAGGCGGCUUCCUGGACCGAUACUGACGCUGAGGCGCGAAAGCGUGGGGAGCAAACAGGAUUAGAUACCCGAGUAGUC
rnacentral:rRNA from 1 species